rnacentral:lncRNA from 1 species
AGAUGCAACGCCAGGGAAGUCACCAAAACCGGGGCAGAAAAUUUUCUGCCGAUUGUCAAAAAAAUUUCUCGGAAGAACGGGGGAACAAUAUCAAAUACAUUUAAGUUCUAGGUCGCCCACUAGUAUAAUGCGGGAAUACUUUUAAGGUCUAGGUCGCCCACCAGUAUAAUGCAGGAAUACUUUUAAGUUCUAGGUCGCCCACCAGUAUAAUGCGGGAAUACUUUUAAGUUCUAGGUCGCCCGCCAGUAUAAUGCGGGAAUACUUUUAAGUUCUAGGUCGCCCACCAGUAUAAUGCGGG